UUUGAGACACUUAGAAUGCACAAUUUAAGUAGCCCAGAAAGAAGGUCUCCCCAGGAGAACAGCCACAUUAGGUUUGCUGUUGUGGAUUUGAUCUAGGAUCCGGCUGCUUCCAAGAGCCGUUCUAUAUACCAAUCAUGGAGAUCAAAGUUAGUCCACAGGACAGGGGUACAAGGAAGAGUACCUAACAGUCUUUUGAAAAUUUUUUUCUACUACCAAUGGGAAAAGAUUAAACAGGAGAUUUUUUUAAAGCCUUUUCGAAAAAGCUACUGGAAAGGAAGAGAUAUGCAACAGUAAGAACAGAGAUAUUGGGGUUCUGUCUUUUCCUUGUGGUGCAUCCUUGAGAAAGUGAUCUAGCUCCUCUAUGCCUCAGUUUCUUCACCUGUAAAAUACAAAUAAUAACAUCUACAUCGCGG
rnacentral:lncRNA from 1 species